GAUCCUGGCUCAGGAUAAACGCUGGCGGCGCACAUAAGACAUGCAAGUCGAACGGAAGUCGUUAUAAAAAGGAUUGAAGAUUUAUCUGAUUGAGAUUUUAUAACAAUGGCUUUAGUGGCGGACUGGUGAGUAACGCGUGAGCAACCUGCCUACUAGAGGGGAAUAACAGUGAGAAAUCAUUGCUAAUACCGCAUAUGCCAUGAACAUCACAUGACGAAAAUGGGAAAAGAGUAA
rnacentral:rRNA from 1 species